rnacentral:rRNA from 1 species
CGUAGGGGGCUAGCGUUGUCCGGAUUUAUUGGGCGUAAAGAGCGCGUAGGCGGCCGAGUAAGUCCGACGUGAAAUCUGGAGGCUCAACCUCCAGCGGUCGUUGGAAACUACCCGGCUAGAGUCCGGAAGAGGAGAGUGGAAUUCCUGGUGUAGCGGUGAAAUGCGCAGAUAUCAGGAAGAACACCGAUGGCGAAAGCAGCUCUCUGGGACGGUACUGACGCUGAGGCGCGAAAGCGUGGGGAGCGAACAGGAUUAGAUACCCUGGUAGUCCACGCCGUAAACGAUGGGUGCUAGGUGUGGGCGGUGUCGACUCCGCCCGUGCCGAAGCUAACGCAUUAAGCACCCGCCUGGGAGUACGGCCGCAAGGCUA